CCUACGGGAGGCAGCAGUGGGGAAUAUUGGGCAAUGGAGGCAACUCUGAACCAGCAACGCCGCGUGCACGAUGAAGGUCUUCGGAGUGUAAAGCUCUGUCGCAGGGAACGAAGUAUGACGGUACCCUGUAAGAAAGCACCGGCAAACUACGUGCCAGCAGCCGCGGUAAUACGUAGGGGGCUAGCGUUGUCCGGAAUUACUGGCGGUAAAGGGAGUGUAGACGGCUUGUCAAGUUAAGUGUGAAAGCCUGCGGCUUAACCGCAGAAUUGCACUUAAAACUGACUCGCUAGAGUGCAGGAGAGGUGAGUGGAAUUUAUAGUGUAGCGGUGGAAUGCGUAGAGAUCAGGAGGAACACCAGAGGCGAAGGCGGCUCACUGGACUGUAACUGACGUUGAGGCUCGAAAGCGUGGGGAGCAAACAGGAUUAGAUACCCGAGUAGUC
rnacentral:rRNA from 1 species